rnacentral:rRNA from 1 species
UAGGGAAUCUUGCGCAAUGGGCGAAAGCCUGACGCAGCAACGCCGCGUGGGGGAUGACGGCUCUAGGGUUGUAAACCCCUUUCAGCAGGGACGAAAAUGACGGUACCUGCAGAAGAAGCCCCGGCCAACUACGUGCCAGCAGCCGCGGUAAUACGGGAG